rnacentral:rRNA from 1 species
GAUGAACGCUGGCGGCGUGCCUAAUACAUGCAAGUCGAGCGAAUGGAUUAAGAGCUUGCUCUUAUGAAGUUAGCGGCGGACGGGUGAGUAACACGUGGGUAACCUGCCCAUAAGACUGGGAUAACUCCGGGAAACCGGGGCUAAUACCGGAUAACAUUUUGAACCGCAUGGUUCGAAAUUGAAAGGCGGCUUCUGCUGUCACUUAUGGACGGACCCGCGUCGCAUUAGCUAGUUGGUGAGGUAACGGCUCACCAAGGCAACGAUGCGUAGCUGGCCUGGGAGGGUGAUCGGCCACACUGGGACUGAGACACGGCCCAGACUCCUACGGGAGGUAGCAGUAGGGAAUCUUCCGCAAUGGACGAAAGUCUGACGGAGCAACGCCGCGUGAGUGAUGAAGGCUUUCGGGUCGUAAAACUCUGUUGUUAGGGAAGAACAAGUGCUAGUUGAAUAAGCUGGCACCUUGACGGUACCUAACCAGAAAGCCACGGCUAACUACGUGCCAGCCGCCGCCGUAA